GACGAACGCUGGCGGCGUGCCUAAUACAUGCAAGUCGAGCGAAGCGGCGGAUGGGUGAGUAACGCGUGGGUAACCUGCCCUUAAGUCUGGGAUAACAGAUGGAAACGGCUGCUAAUACCGGAGUGGGGGAUGGACGCGCGUCCUAUCAGCUUGUUGGGGGGGUAGUGGCCUACCAAGGCGCCGACGGGUAGCCGGCCUUGUAGGGCGGCCGGCCACAUUGCGACUGAGAUACUGCCCAGUCUCCUUCGGGAGGCAGCAGUGGGGAAUCUGCCGCAAUGGGCGAAAGCCUGACGGAGCCACGCCGCUUGAGUUAUGAAGGUCUUCGGAUCGUAAAACUCUGUUAUUAGGGAAGCGGUACCUAAUCAGAAAGCCACGGCUAACUACGUGCCAGCAGCCGCGGUAAUUC
rnacentral:rRNA from 1 species